ACGGGAGGCAGCAGUGGGGAAUCUUGCGCAAUGGGCGAAAGCCUGACGCAGCCAUGCCGCGUGAAUGAUGAAGGUCUUAGGAUUGUAAAGUUCUUUCGCUCGUGACGAUGAUGACGGUAACGAGAGAAGAAGCCCCGGCUAACUUCGUGCCAGCAGCCGCGGUAA
rnacentral:rRNA from 1 species